rnacentral:rRNA from 1 species
ACGAACGCUGGCGGCGUGCUUAACACAUGCAAGUCGAACGGAAAGGCCCUGCUUUUGUGGGGUGCUCGAGUGGCGAACGGGUGAGUAACACGUGAGUAACCUGCCCUUGACUUUGGGAUAACUUCAGGAAACUGGGGCUAAUACCGGAUAGGAGCUCCUGCUGCAUGGUGGGGGUUGGAAAGUUUCGGCGGUUGGGGAUGGACUCGCGGCGUAUCAGCUUGUUGGUGGGGUAGUGGCUUACCAAGGCUUUGCCGGGUAGCCGGCCUGAGAGGGUGACCGGCCACAUUGGGACUGAGAUGCGGCCCAGACUCCUACGGGAGGCAGCAGUGGGGAAUAUUGCACAAUGGGCGGAAGCCUGAUGCAGCAACGCCGCGUGCGGGAUGACGGCCUUCGGGUUGUAAACCGCUUUCGCCUGUGACGAAGCGUGAGUGACGGUAAUGCGUAAAUAAGCACCGGCUAACUACGUG